GUAGGUGAGUGUUACUUCGCGUGACUCCAAAUCAUGAGGUGCGGGUUCGAAUCCCGCC
rnacentral:tRNA from 1 species